UACGAAGGGGACUAGCGUUGUUCGGAAUUACUGGGCGUAAAGCGCACGUAGGCGGAUUUAUAAGUCAGGUGUGAAAGCCCCGGGCUCAACCUGGGAAUUGCAUUUGAGACUGAAUAGCUAGGGUGCGGAAGAGGGAAGCGGAAUUUCCGGUGUAGCGGUGAAAUGCGUAGAUAUCGGAAGGAACACCAGUGGCGAAAGCGGCUUCCUGGUCCAGCACCGACGUCAGGCACGAAAGCGUGGGGAGCAAACAGG
rnacentral:rRNA from 1 species